rnacentral:tRNA from 2 species
GGCCUUUGUAGCUCAGUGGUAGAGCAGCCGCCUAGUAAGCGGCUGGUGGUGGGUUCGAUUCCUACCUGAGGCCC